rnacentral:lncRNA from 1 species
GGACAGACUGGCCAUGCUCUUCAGGACUAUUUGAAGGAUUCUAGUGCUAGUGAAUGAAUAUGAGGGGCUGUACUGAAGAUACUUGCUGAGGUAUUUAAUGGUUUCCUGACACGAACUGAGUGGCCUGUCUCUGUACAAUCCUAACUCCUGGGAGCAUUUGCAGUUGCUCAUGAGACAGCGUUAAGUGCUGAGUUGAAGUCUGUUACUGCCACAGCAAGGACCUUGUGCCUCAAACCAGUGAAUACUGCAAGCUCGAGUCCACCACCAACCCUGCCAUGCUGCUUGCAAGUCUGAGCUCAUCGUGAGACACUGCCUGCAGCAUUUCUGAUCAGUAGGACUGUACUCCCAUUUACAUGGAAAGCGUUUUCUUACUGCUUACCCCCUUGUGUAAGAUACUGCAGAGCACUCCAAGCUUCCACCCACAGGCAGACAGCCCUUUAAAAAAGAGUGUCCUGAUAAGUCCAGAUGGAUACAUGGAGAAACAUACCCAUGAGAUGGCUGCUUUGAAAGCAUGCUGGGAAGCAAUGUAUUAGGGUCCCGUGUCUUUUUUUUCUCUCAGUAAUGAUAAAUACACUUAUACAUGGACAGAACAUUUCUAGAACGAUUCAGAAAACUUCUGGGACUGGGACUAGGGUACAUAGAUUUCUUUGUGUUCCUGUUUCUACCGUUUGGAUUUGUACUGAGCAUAAAUUGUAUAAUUUUUUAAUAAAAAGGAAAAAUGCAAGGUG